GCCGCGUGCAGGAUGACUGCCCUAUGGGUUGUAAACUGCUUUUAUAUAGGAAGAAACCUUUCCACGUGUGGAAAGCUGACGGUACUAUAAGAAUAAGGAUCGGCUAACUCCGUGCCAGCAGCCGCGGUAAUACGGAGGAUCCAAGCGUUAUCCGGAAUCAUUGGGUUUAAAGGGUCCGUAGGUGGAUAAUUAAGUCAGAGGUGAAAUCCUGCAGCUCAACUGUAGAAUUGCCUUUGAUACUGGUUAUCUUGAAUUAUUGUGAAGUGGUUAGAAUAUGUAGUGUAGCGGUGAAAUGCAUAGAUAUUACAUAGAAUACCAAUUGCGAAGGCAGAUCACUAACAAUAUAUUGACACUGAUGGACGAAAGCGUGGGGAGCGAACAGGAUUAGAUACCCUGGUAGUCCACGCCGUAAACGAUGGUCACUAGCUGUUCGAACUUCGGUUUGAGUGGCUAA
rnacentral:rRNA from 2 species